CAGUAGCCGCGGUAAUACGAAGGGGGCUAGCGUUGUUCGGAAUUACUGGGCGUAAAGCGCACGCAGGCGGCUCGAUAAAUUAGAAGUGAAAGCCUUGGGCUUAACCUGAGAAUUGCUUUUAAGACUGUCGGGCUAGAAUCCAGAAGAGGGUAGUGGAAUUCCGAGUGUAGAGGUGAAAUUCGUAGAUAUUCGGAAGAACACCAGUGGCGAAGGCGACUACCUGGUCUGGCAUUGACGCUCAUGUGCGAAAGCGUGGGGAGCAAACAGGAUUAGAGACCCCCGUAGUCCCUGUCUCUUAUAC
rnacentral:rRNA from 1 species